AGCGAACGCUGGCGGCAGGCUUAACACAUAAAAGUCGUACGGGCGUAGCAAUACGUCACUGGCAGACGGGUGAUAAACGAGGUGGAACGUACCUUUUGGUUCGGAACAACCCAGGGAAACUUGGGUCAAUACCGGAUAAGCCCAUACGGGGAAAGAUUUAUCGCUGUAAGAUCGGCCCGCGUUUGAGGAGCUUGUUGGUGAAAUAACGGCUCACCAAGGCGACGAUCAGUAGCUGGUCUGAGAGGAUGAUCAGCCACAUUGGGACUGAGACACGGCCCAAACUCCUACCGGAGGCAGCAGUGGGGAAUAUUUGACAAUGGGCGCAAGGCUGAUCCAGCCAUGCCCGGUGAGUGAUGAAGGCCCUAGGGUUGUAAAGCUCUUUUGU
rnacentral:rRNA from 1 species